AGCGGCGGACGGGUGAGUAACGCGUGGGUAACCUGCCUCAUACAGGGGGAUAACAGUUGGAAACGGCUGCUAAUACCGCAUAAGCGCACAGUACCGCAUGGUACGGUGUGAAAAACUCCGGUGGUAUGAGAUGGACCCGUGUCUGAUUAGGUAGUUGGUGGGGUAACGGCCUACCAAGCCGACGAUCAGUAGCCGACCUGAGAGGGUGACCGGCCACAUUGGGACUGAGACACGGCCCAA
rnacentral:rRNA from 1 species